AGAGUUUGAUCCUGGCUCAGGAUGAACGCUGGCGGCGUGCCUAAUACAUGCAAGUCGAGCGGUAAGGCUUUCACUCUGUAUUUAAUGAGUUGAAUAUAGUGUGAAAGUACACGAGCGGCGGACGGCUGAGUAACGCGUAGGAACGUACCCCAAAGUGAGGGAUAAGCACCGGAAACGGUGUCUAAUACCGCAUGUGAUCUUCGGAUUAAAGCUUUAUGCGCUUUGGGAGCGGCCUGCGUAAGAUUAGUUUGUUGGUGAGGUAAUGGCUCACCAAGACUACGAUCUUUAGCUGGUCUGAGAGGAUGAUCAGCCAGACUGGGACUGAGACACGGCCCAGACUCCUACGGGAGGCAGCAGUAGGGAAUUUCCACAAUGGACGAAAGUCUGAUGGAGCAACGCCGCGUGCAGGAUGAAGGCCUUCGGGUUGUAAACUGCUUUUAUCUGUGACGAUUAUGACGGUAGCAGAUGAAUAAGGAUCGGCUAACUCCGUG
rnacentral:rRNA from 1 species